rnacentral:rRNA from 1 species
GUUUGUUUCUGAGACUGAAGACACCCAAUCUCAUCUGAUCUGCAAAGCUAAGCAGGGUUGGGCCUGGUUAGUAUUUGGAUGGGAGACUACCUGGGAAAUACCAGGUGCUGUAAGCU